rnacentral:ribozyme from 1 species
UGCACAGCAACUCCUAUCCCUACCUCCUCGUGGUACUGGCCAAGGUACGAGCAACCUUUGGGAAGAUCGUGUAAUCAACCAUGGUGGGAACUUUGGUCGUAUACUGACAGAGAAGA